GGUGAACGCUGGCGGUAGGCCUAACACAUGCAAGUCGAACGGCAGCACAGGAGAGCUUGCUCUCUGGGUGGCGAGUGGCGGACGGGUGAGGAAUACAUCGGAAUCUGCCCAGUCGUGGGGGAUAACGUAGGGAAACUUACGCUAAUACCGCAUACGACCUUCGGGUGAAAGAGGGGGAUCGCAAGACCUCUCGCGAUUGGAUGAGCCGAUGUCGGAUUAGCUAGUUGGCGGGGUAAUGGCCCACCAAGGCGACGAUCCGUAGCUGGUCUGAGAGGAUGAUCAGCCACACUGGAACUGAGACACGGUCCAGACUCCUACGGGAGGCAGCAGUGGGGAAUAUUGGACAAUGGGCGCAAGCCUGAUCCAGCCAUACCGCGUGGGUGAAGAAGGCCUUCGGGUUGUAAAGCCCUUUUGUUGGGAAAGAAAUCUUUCAGGCUAAUACCCUGGGAGGAUGACGGUACCCAAAGAAUAAGCACCGGCUAACCUCGUG
rnacentral:rRNA from 1 species